rnacentral:rRNA from 1 species
GACGUAGGGCGCGAGCGUUGUCCGGAUUUAUUGGGCGUAAAGAGCUCGUAGGCGGUUUGUCGCGUCUGCUGUGAAAACUGGAGGCUCAACCUCCAGCCUGCAGUGGGUACGGGCAGACUAGAGUGCGGUAGGGGAGAUUGGAAUUCCUGGUGUAGCGGUGGAAUGCGCAGAUAUCAGGAGGAACACCGAUGGCGAAGGCAGAUCUCUGGGCCGUAACUGACGCUGAGGAGCGAAAGCAUGGGGGAGCGAACAGG